rnacentral:misc_RNA from 1 species
CAGCCAGAUGUUUACAAGGAUGAUAACCAUAAGCCUGAGAUGGCUUUGGCCAUAACCGAGUUUGAGGCCCUUUGUGGUUUUAUCAGUCUUGAGGAGCUCAAAGGGGUACUUCAAAAUAUUCCUGAGAUUGUAGAACUGGUUGGCUGUACAGAUGCCAACCAAGUUUUACAUAUGAACGAGCAGGAUGGGGAGGAGAAAGUAAAAUCAGUCCUGAGAUCAAUUUUUAGC